rnacentral:rRNA from 1 species
UUAAGCGACUAAGCGUACACGGUGGAUGCCCUGGCAGUCAGAGGCGAUGAAGGACGUGCUAAUCUGCGAUAAGCGUCGGUAAGGUGAUAUGAACCGUUAUAACCGGCGAUUUCCGAAUGGGGAAACCCAGUGUGUUUCGACACACUAUCAUUAACUGAAUCCAUAGGUUAAUGAGGCGAACCGGGGGAACUGAAACAUCUAAGUACCCCGAGGAAAAGAAAUCAACCGAGAUUCCCCCCAGUAGCGGCGAGCGAACGGGGAGCAGCCCAGAGCCUGAAUCAGUAUGUGUGUUAGUGGAAGCGUCUGGAAAGGCGCGCGAUACAGGGUGACAGCCCCGUACACAAAAAUGCACAUGCUGUGAGCUCGAUGAGUAGGGCGGGACACGUGGUAUCCUGUCUGAAUAUGGGGGGACCAUCCUCCAAGGCUAAAUACUCCUGACUGACCGAUAGUGAACCAGUACCGUGAGGGAAAGGCGAAAAGAACCCCGGCGAGGGGAGUGAAAAAGAACCUGAAACCGUGUACGUACAAGCAGUGGGAGCACGCUUAGGCGUGUGACUGCGUACCUUUGUAUAAUGGGUCAGCGACUUAUAUUCUGUAGCAAGGUUAACCGAAUAGGGGAGCCGAAGGGAAACCGAGUCUUAACUGGGCGUUAAGUUGCAGGGUAUAGACCCGAAACCCGGUGAUUCUAGCCAUGGGCAGGUUGAAGGUUGGGUAACACUAACUGGAGGACCGAACCGACUAAUGUUGAAAAAAUUAGCGGAUGACUUGUGGCUGGGGGGUGAAAGGCCAAUCAAACCGGGAGAUAGCUGGUUCUCCCCGAAAGCUAUUUAGGUAGCGCCUCGUGAAUUCAUCUCCGGGGGGUAGAGCACUGUUUCGGCAAGGGGGUCAUCCCGACUUACCAACCCGAUGCAAACUGCGAAUACCGGAGAAUGUUAUCACGGGAGACACACGGCGGGUGCUAACGUCCGUCGUGAAGAGGGAAACAACCCAGACCGCCAGCUAAGGUCCCAAAGUCAUGGUUAAGUGGGAAACGAUGUGGGAAGGCCCAGACAGCCAGGAUGUUGGCUUAGAAGCAGCCAUCAUUUAAAGAAAGCGUAAUAGCUCACUGGUCGAGUCGGCCUGCGCGGAAGAUGUAACGGGGCUAAACCAUGCACCGAAGCUGCGGCAGCGACGCUGAUGCGUUGUUGGGUAGGGGGAGCGUUCUGUAAGCCUGCGAAGGUGUGCUGUGAGGCAUGCUGGAGGUAUCAGAAGUGCGAAUGCUGACAUAAGUAACGAUAAAGCGGGUGAAAAGCCCGCUCGCCGGAAGACCAAGGGUUCCUGUCCAACGUUAAUCGGGGCAGGGUGAGUCGACCCCUAAGGCGAGGCCGAAAGGCGUAGUCGAUGGGAAACAGGUUAAUAUUCCUGUACUUGGUGUUACUGCGAAGGGGGGACGGAGAAGGCUAUGUUGGCCGGGCGACGGUUGUCCCGGUUUAAGCGUGUAGGCUGGUUUUCCGAGCAAAUCCGGAAAAUCAAGGCUGAGGCGUGAUGACGAGGCACUACGGUGCUGAAGCAACAAAUGCCCUGCUUCCGUGAAAAGCCUCUAAGCAUCAGGUAACAUCAAAUCGUACCCCCAAACCGACACAGGUGGUCAGGUAGAGAAUACCAAGGCGCUUGAGAGAACUCGGGUGAAGGAACUAGGCAAAAUGGUGCCGUAACUUCGGGAGAAGGCACGCUGAUAUGUAGGUGAGGUCCCUCGCGGAUGGAGCUGAAAUCAGUCGAAGAUACCAGCUGGCUGCAACUGUUUAUUAAAAACACAGCACUGUGCAAACACGAAAGUGGACGUAUACGGUGUGACGCCUGCCCGGUGCCGGAAGGUUAAUUGAUGGGGUUAGCCGCAAGGCGAAGCUCUUGAUCGAAGCCCCGGUAAACGGCGGCCGUAACUAUAACGGUCCUAAGGUAGCGAAAUUCCUUGUCGGGUAAGUUCCGACCUGCACGAAUGGCGUAAUGAUGGCCAGGCUGUCUCCACCCGAGACUCAGUGAAAUUGAACUCGCUGUGAAGAUGCAGUGUACCCGCGGCAAGACGGAAAGACCCCGUGAACCUUUACUAUAGCUUGACACUGAACAUUGAGCCUUGAUGUGUAGGAUAGGUGGGAGGCUUAGAAGUGUGGACGCCAGUCUGCAUGGAGCCGACCUUGAAAUACCACCCUUUAAUGUUUGAUGUUCUAACGUUGACCCGUAAUCCGGGUUGCGGACAGUGUCUGGUGGGUAGUUUGACUGGGGGCGGUCUCCUCCUAAAGAGUAACGGAGGAGCACGAAGGUUGGCUAAUCUCGGGUCGGACAUCAGGAGGUUAGUGCAAUGGCAUAAGCCAGCUUGACUGCGAGCGUGACGGCGCGAGCAGGUGCGAAAGCAGGUCAUAGUGAUCCGGUGGUUCUGAAUGGAAGGGCCAUCGCUCAACGGAUAAAAGGUACUCCGGGGAUAACAGGCUGAUACCGCCCAAGAGUUCAUAUCGACGGCGGUGUUUGGCACCUCGAUGUCGGCUCAUCACAUCCCGGGGCUGAAGUAGGUCCCAAGGGUAUGGCUGUUCGCCAUUUAAAGUGGUACGCGAGCUGGGUUUAGAACGUCGUGAGACAGUUCGGUCCCCUAUCUGCCGUGGGCGCUGGAGAACUGAGGGGGGCUGCUCCUAGUACGAGAGGACCGGAGUGGACGCAUCACUGGUGUUCGGGUUGUCAUGCCAAUGGCACUGCCCGGUAGCUAAAUGCGGAAGAGAUAAGUGCUGAAAGCAUCUAAGCACGAAACUUGCCCCGAGAUGAGUUCUCCCUGACCCUUUAAGGGUCCUGAAGGAACGUUGAAGACGACGACGUUGAUAGGCCGGGUGUGUAAGCGCAGCGAUGCGUUGAGCUAACCGGUACUAAUGAACCGUGAGGCUUAACCU